AACGAACGCUGGCGGCAUGCCUAACACAUGCAAGUCGAACGAGACCUUCGGGUCUAGUGGCGCACGGGUGCGUAACGCGUGGGAACCUGCCCUUAGGUUCGGAAUAACUCCCCGAAAGGGGUGCUAAUACCGGAUAAUGUCUUCGGACCAAAGAUUUAUCGCCUUUGGAUGGGCCCGCGUUGGAUUAGCUAGUUGGUAGGGUAAAAGCCUACCAAGGCGACGAUCCAUAGCUGGUCUGAGAGGAUGAUCAGCCACACUGGGACUGAGAAACGGCCCAGACUCCUACGGGAGGCAGGAGUGGGGAAUAUUGGAAAAUGGGCGAAAGCCUGAUCCAGCAAUGCCGCGUGAGUGAUGAAGGCCUUAGGGUUGUAAAGCUCUUUUACCCGGGAUGAUAAUGACAGUACCGGGAGAAUAAGCUCCGGCUAACUCCGUG
rnacentral:rRNA from 1 species